CAAACGACUCUCGGCAACGGAUAUCUCGGCUCACGCAUCGAUGAAGAACGUAGCAAAAUGCGAUACUUGGUGUGAAUUGCAGAAUCCCGUGAACCAUCGAGUUUUUGAACGCAAGUUGCGCCCAAAGCCAUUCGGCUGAGGGCACGUCUGCCUGGGCGUCACGC
rnacentral:rRNA from 6 species